rnacentral:rRNA from 1 species
GUGGAUUAGAUACCCUGGUAGUCCACGCUGUAAACGAUGAGUGCUAGUUGUCGGCAUGCAUGCAUGUCGGUGACGCAGCUAACGCAUUAAGCACUCCGCCUGGGGAGUACGGUCGCAAGAUUAAAACUCAAAGGAAUUGACGGGGGCCCGCACAAGCGGUGGAGCAUGUGGUUUAAUUCGAAGCGACGCGCAGAACCUUACCACCUUUUGACAUGCCUGGACCGCCGGAGAGAUCCGGUUUUCCCUUCGGGGACUAGGACACAGGUGCUGCAUGGUCGUCGACAGCU